rnacentral:rRNA from 1 species
GACGAACGCUGGCGGCGUGCUUAACACAUGCAAGUCGAGCGAUGAAGCUUCUUCGGAAGUGGAUUAGCGGCGGACGGGUGAGUAACACGUGGGUAACCUGCCUUGUAGAGAGGAAUAGCCAUUCGAAAGGAUGAUUAAUACCUCAUAAUAUUGUAGUUUCGCAUGGAGCAACAAUCAAAGGAGCAAUCCGCUACAAGAUGGACCCGCGGCGCAUUAGCUAGUUGGUGAGGUAACGGCUCACCAAGGCGACGAUGCGUAGCCGACCUGAGAGGGUGAUCGGCCACAUUGGGACUGAGACACGGCCCAGACUCCUACGGGAGGCAGCAGUGGGGAAUAUUGCACAAUGGGGGAAACCCUGAUGCAGCAACGCCGCGUGAGUGAUGACGGUCUUCGGAUUGUAAAGCUCUGUCUUCAGGGACGAUAAUGACGGUACCUGAGGAGGAAGCCACGGCUAACUACGUGCCAGCAGCCGCCGUAAAAC